rnacentral:rRNA from 1 species
AGAAUCAACGCUGGCGGCGUGCCUAACACAUGCAAGUCGAACGAGAAAGUGGAGCAAUCCAUGAGUAAAGUGGCGACCGGGUGAGUAACACGUGACUAACCUACCUUCGAGUGGGGGAUAACCUCGGGAAACCGAGGCUAAUACCGCAUAACAUCGUGAGAUCAAAGCAGUAAUGCGCUGGAAGAGGGGGUCGCGGCUGAUUAGCUAGUUGGCGGGGUAAUGGCCCACCAAGGCGAAGAUCGGUAGCCGGCCUGAGAGGGCGCGACGGACCGACGACCUGGAACGUGAAACACGGUCCAGACUCCUACGGGAGGCAGCAGUGGGAAUUUUGCGCAAUGGGGGAAACCCUGACGCAGCAACGCCGCGUGGAGGAUGAAGUCCCUUGGGACGUAAACUCCUUUCGACCAAGACGAUAAUGACGGUACUGGUGGAAGAAGCACCGGCUAACUCUGUGCCAGCAGCCGC